rnacentral:rRNA from 1 species
AACGAACGCUGGCGGCAUGCCUAACACAUGCAAGUCGAACGAGACCUUCGGGUCUAGUGGCGCACGGGUGCGUAACGCGUGGGAAUCUUCCCUCAGGUUCGGACUACCUCAGAGACAUUUGAGCUAAUACCGGAUGAUGACGUAAGUCCAAAGAUUUAUCGCCUGAGGAUGAGCCCGCGUAGGAUUAGGUAGUUGGUGAGGUAAAGGCUCACCAAGCCGACGAUCCUUAGCUGGUCUGAGAGGAUGAUCAGCCACACUGGGACUGAGACACGGCCCAGACUCCUACGGGAGGCAGCAGUGGGGAAUAUUGGACAAUGGGCGAAAGCCUGAUCCAGCAAUGCCGCGUGAGUGAUGAAGGCCUUAGGGUUGUAAAGCUCUUUUACCCGGGAUGAUAAUGACAGUACCGGGAGAAUAAGCUCCGGCUAACUCCGUG